rnacentral:rRNA from 1 species
AUGGUCAGUGUCGUGGAGGAGUACGCGCUCACGCUGGUGGCCAUGGCCGUCGGCUUCCUGGUGGUGGCAUAUCUCUACGAGCCCUACUGGAGAGUCCGGCAUGUGCCAGGACCCGUGCUGCUGCCACUCAUCGGCCACGUCCACCUGCUCGCCGAGCACGGCCCCGACGUUUUCUCCAUGCUCGCCAAGAAGCAUGGCCCGGUCUUCAGGUUCCACAUGGGAAGGCAGCCGCUCAUCGUGGUGGCAGAUGCCGAGUUCUGCAAGGAAGCAGGCAUCAAGAAGUUCAAGAGCAUUUCUAACCGGAGCAUGCCUUCGGCCAUUGCAAACUCCCCCAUACAUCAGAAAGGCCUCUUCUUCUCCAGAGGUUUGAGGUGGACGACGAUGCGUAACAUCAUCAUCUCCCUCUACCAACCGUCUCACCUCGCCGGCCUCAUCCCGACCAUGGAGUCCUACAUCGAGCGCGCGGCGAGGAAUCUCGAUGAAGGAGACGAGGUCGUCUUCUCAAAGCUGGCUUUGACCCUCUUCACCGACGUCAUCGGGCACGCGGCCUUCGGCGCAGACUUUGGCCUGUCCGGAGAGCCGGUGUCGACAGACAUUGAUGGCAAGGCUGGCGCUGGCGUCAAGAACGGCGGAACGGCCGUGAAGGUGUCGGAGGAGUUCGUGAAAAUGCACCUGCACGCGACCACGUCGCUCAAGAUGGACCUGUCCGGGUCGCUGUCUAUCAUAGUGGGCAACCUCGUGCCGUUCCUGCAACAGCCGUUCCGGCAGGUGCUCAAGAGGAUACCCGGCACGGCCGACUGGAAGAUCGAUCAUGUGAACCACGAGCUCAGCAGCCAGAUGGACGUCAUCGUCGCCGACCUGAUGGCGGCGAGGGAGCGCGAGCCGGCGUCGAAGCAGCGCAAGGACUUGUUGUCCGUGGUCCUCGGGGCGAGGGAGCGGGGCGGCGCGGCAGUGCAGGAGCUGCUCACUCCGGACUACGUGAGCGCGCUGACUUACGAGCACCUCCUCGUCGGGUCGGCGACAACGUCGUUCACGCUGUCCUCGGUGGUCUACCUCGUCGCCAAGCACCCGGAGGUAGAGGAGAAGCUGCUCACGGAGAUAGACGCGUUCGGCCCCCGCGGUCGCGUGCCCACGGCCGAUGAUCUCAAGACCAGGUUCCCUUACCUCGAUCAGGUGGUCAAGGAAUCAAUGAGGUUCUACGUGGUGUCGCCAUUGGUGGCCCGAGAAACAUUGGAGAGAGUGGAGAUUGGUGGCUAUGUCCUUCCCAAGGGCACAUGGGUGUGGUUGGCACCUGGUGUACUUGCAAAGGACCCCAUUAACUUUCCGGAGCCAGAGCAAUUCAGGCCAGAGCGGUUUGACCCUGCUGGCAAUGAGGAGAAGUGUCGGCAUCCUUACGCCUUCAUCCCCUUCGGCAUUGGUCCAAGGGCCUGCAUCGGGGAGAAGUUUGCGAUCCAAGAGAUCAAGCUCGCCAUCAUUCAUUUGUAUAGCCACUACGUGUUUCGUCACUCAAAAGCCAUGGAGUCACCGCUAGAGUUUCAGUAUGGGAUCGUGCUCAACUUCAAACAUGGGGUCAAGCUUCAGGUCAUCCACAGGGACAAGGAUUAA